AAUGAACGUUGGCGGCGUGGAUUAGGCAUGCAAGUCGUGCGGAAAGGCUCCUUCGGGAGUACUCGAGCGGCGUAAGGGAGAGUAACGCGUGGAUAUCUACCCCCUGGACUGGGAUAGCGGCGGGAAACUGCCGGGAAUACCAGAUAAUGUCUCCGGACCAAAGGUGUGAGUCCGCCGGGAGAUGGGCCUAUAUCCUAUUAGCUAGUUGGUGAGGUAACGGCUCACCAAGGCCAUGAUGGGUAGCAGGUGUGAGAGCACGACCUGCGUCAUUGGGACUGAGACACUGCCCAGACACCUACGGGUGGCUGCAGUCGAGAAUCUUCGGCAAUGGGCGCAAGCCUGACCGAGCGACGCCGCGUGCGGGAUGAAGGCCUUCGGGUUGUAAACCGCUGUCAGAGGGGAUGAAAUGCUGGUGGGUACUCCCAUCAGUUUGACAUAUCCUCAGAGGAAGUACGGGCUAAGUUCGUGCCAGCCGCCGCAGUAAUAC
rnacentral:rRNA from 1 species